AAAAAGUACGCCCAGCUAAGGUGGAAACGCUGACUGCUGGUGCUGUAUUCAACCACUUGUAUACUUGUACCUGUUGCUUCCGUGGAGUUAUGGGUGCUCAUCCUGCUUGCAGGCGUGGGUUACCUUCCACGGGUGUAGUCUGAACGCUUGUUUAAUUGUAUGUAGUGUCUGAAUAACUAUUAUAAUAAAGUUA
rnacentral:misc_RNA from 1 species